AUACGUAGGGGGCAAGCGUUAUCCGGAUUUACUGGGUGUAAAGGGAGCGUAGACGGUUUGGCAAGUCUGAAGUGAAAGCUCGGGGCUCAACCCCGGAACUGCUUUGGAAACUGUCGAACUGGAGUGCAGGAGAGGUAAGCGGAAUUCCUAGUGUAGCGGUGAAAUGCGUAGAUAUUAGGAGGGACACCAGAGGCGAAGGCGGCUUACUGGACUGUAACGGACGUUGAGGCUCGAAGGCGUGGGGAGCAAACAGGAUUAGAUACCCUGGUAGUCCACGCGGUAAACGAUGAUCACUAGGUGUUGGCACGCAUAGCGUGUCGGUGCCGCAGCAAACGCAAUAAGUGAUCCACCUGGGAGUACGUUCGCAAGAAUGAAACUCAAAGGAAUUGACGGGG
rnacentral:rRNA from 1 species